AAUAAGAGGCGAGGCGGGGCAAUAAAGAGGGGCAAUAAGAGGGGAACGUGAGGCGGGGCAAUAGGAGGGGCGCGCGGAGGAGCACGAGGAGGGGCGCGAGACGAGGCACGAGGACCUCGACUGAGCCCAGCCCUCCCCCCGCCCUUUCUUUCGCGUGCGCGCCCCCCCCCGGGAGCGGUGCAGCUGCGGCGGGAGCCCGCGGCCCCGCCCCCGCGGCCGCCCAGGUGGCCGUCAUUGGGCAGAGCGCGCAACUCUCCGGGUGACGUCAGGCGGCGCGGGGCCCGGCGCCAGAAAUAGGGCAGCCUGCCGCGCGCGCCGCCCGCUCUUUUCCUCUUCGCUCCGCUCGCGCUCUCUCUCUCUCUCUCUCUCCUACGGCUGGCGGACCUGCUGCUGCUCCUCCUGCUCCUCCUGCUCCUCCUGCUCCUCCUGCUCCUCCUGCUCCUCCUGCUCCUCCUGCUCCUGCUGCUCCUCGGCCGCCCCCGCCGCACGACCCCCGCACCUGGGCUCCCGGGGGCAGCGGGACCGACCCCGUCCCGUCCCGUCCCGUCCGUCCGUCCGUCCGUCCGCCCGCAGCCCAGGUUUGUGAUAAUGAAAUCGAGAAGCUUUUGGUUCUUUCCUGUGCUGUGUGGGGUCUUUCUGUGGCCCACCCUGGGGCAGAUGGAUUCAGACAGGAGCAGACGCCCUCUUUUAGAAGCAAGAAGGCGGCAACAAGAGGUAUCGUAGCCGUACCAUGUCUGCUUCGUAUCUCCUUUCUAUUGCUGCUUCUCUCUAACUUAUUCAAUCGUUGCCUGACAUCUGUGAGGUAUGAAACCUAGCCAUGUUGGGGAGAUACAGGCAGUUGCCCCGGGCAUGUCCAUGCACCAUGACCCCCUGCCUCUCACUUUCCAGGGAAUUGUAUUUAUGGAUGGAUAUUUUGCAGCUUUCAAUCCAAAUCCUGGAAGGCAAGAGCAGAUGUAGCUAGUGAUCAAAUCAGACUUCAGUCUCCUAAAAUCUACAUCUCAAACAGACUCCAGUGGAG
rnacentral:lncRNA from 1 species